rnacentral:piRNA from 1 species
UAACUCUGAAUCUAUAUGGCUCCUUUGA